rnacentral:rRNA from 1 species
CAAGUCGAGCGGACAGAAGGGAGCUUGCUCCCGGAUGUUAGCGGCGGACGGGUGAGUAACACGUGGGUAACCUGCCUGUAAGACUGGGAUAACUCCGGGAAACCGGAGCUAAUACCGGAUAGUUCCUUGAACCGCAUGGUUCAAGGAUGAAAGACGGUUUCGGCUGUCACUUACAGAUGGACCCGCGGCGCAUUAGCUAGUUGGUGAGGUAACGGCUCACCAAGGCGACGAUGCGUAGCCGACCUGAGAGGGUGAUCGGCCACACUGGGACUGAGACACGGCCCAGACUCCUACGGGAGGCAGCAGUAGGGAAUCUUCCGCAAUGGACGAAAGUCUGACGGAGCAACGCCGCGUGAGUGAUGAAGGUUUUCGGAUCGUAAAGCUCUGUUGUUAGGGAAGAACAAGUGCAAGAGUAACUGCUUGCACCUUGACGGUACCUAACCAGAAAGCCACGGCUAACUACGUGCCAGCAGCCGCGGUAAUACGUAGGUGGCAAGCGUUGUCCGGAAUUAUUGGGCGUAAAGGGCUCGCAGGCGGUUUCUUAAGUCUGAUGUGAAAGCCCCCGGCUCAACCGGGGAGGGUCAUUGGAAACUGGGAAACUUGAGUGCAGAAGAGGAGAG